CGACGGUCUCGUCGAUGUAGGUCUCGAUGGGUGCCGCCGCAGGCAGCACGAGGUCGGUCAUUCGCCGGCCGGUCAGGAUCGUCACCCGGGUGGUCGAC
rnacentral:tRNA from 1 species